UACGUAGGGGGCAAGCGUUGUCCGGAUUUAUUGGGCGUAAAGAGCGUGUAGGCGGCCAGACAGGUCCGUUGUGAAAACUCGAGGCUCAACCUCGAGAUGUCGAUGGAAACCGUCUGGCUAGAGUCCGGAAGAGGAGAAUGGAAUUCCUGGUGUAGCGGUGAAAUGCGUAGAUAUCAGGAGGAACACCGGUGGCGAAGGCGGCUACCUGGACAGAAACUGACGCUGAGGCGCGAAAGCUAGGGGAGCAAACAGG
rnacentral:rRNA from 1 species